CAAAGCUAGUAGACACAUCUUUAUUUUGUGAUAUUGAAAACAAAAUCAAAAUUGUAUCUCUGUUGUUCAUCCCCGACUAGCGACCUAGAAAUUUCAAUUCAGAAACCCAAUCUCUGUUUCUUUCGCCUCUCUUCUGUGAUGAGAAUCAAACACAUUCGCACCUCCCUGCUCAUUGCUCAGAGAGACUAGAUGCUGAUCAAAACGCUGCGUUUCGUCGGCGAUCGUCAAAAUCCGUAUCGGAAUGCAAUCAAAUCGUACGCUCUGAUAAUUAGUUUGGAGAGAACAAAAUCAUGUGGUUUUCGUUAAGGAGAUGAUCCAGGGACCGAUUCUCCUUCAAUGAUCUCAGGGAACUUAUGUUGAACAAAUCAAAGCGGAAGUUGUGUAGUCUCCUGCUCAUGCUCUUUCCUUGAUAGCAACUGUACAAGGUAUAGAAACUUUUAUCUACACCUUUUAGUUUAUCUAUAUAUUAUUUUGCCUUUUUGUUUUUCACUUUGGUUCUAUCUAAAAGUUUUCUGGAAGAGUGUGGACAAUGGGUGCUCUUUGUUGCUGGGAGAACUUGUGUUUAAAGAGAGAAGAACAUUAGACUUUUCUCGUGUGGUGAUGAGGGAUCUUUUGAGCAAGUAUGGUGUGAGAGAGACAACUUGAGACUUUGGUUUGACUAUUGAUGAGAGGAAGAAGAUUGGGUUUUUAUCAGAGUUCUAAGGUCGCUUUCCAAAGUUUAGGAAAUGGUUCAGUCAGGUUUGACAACUGGUCUGGGAUUAGUUUCGGAAAAAUCUGUAAUCAUCACGUUACUGUUCCAGUAACUGAACAAUAUGGAUGUGUAGUUCUAGGAUAGUUUAUAUCAAGGACAAUGGGUUUAUGGAAAUACUAAUGGCCUUUUGAAUUCAGACUGUUGUAUUAUGUUACCUCUUGGAUAUGCAUUGAUCAAUAGCCUUUCUAUUUAAAACUGCAUACUAAUGAAACCUUGUGGACAAUGGAUUUUAUGUGUUCCCAUUGAUA